UACGGGGGGGGCAAGCGUUGUUCGGAAUUACUGGGCGUAAAGGGCUCGUAGGCGGCCAACUAAGUCGGAUGUGAAAUCCCCAGGCUUAACCUGGGAACUGCAUCCGAUACUGGAUGGCUUGAAUCCGGGAGAGGGAUGCAGAAUUCCAGGUGUAGCGGUGAAAUGCGUAGAUAUCUGGAGGAACACCGGUGGCGAAGGCGGCAUCCUGGACCGGUAUUGACACUGAAAAGUGAAAGCCAGGGGAGCAAACGGA
rnacentral:rRNA from 1 species